AAAGUUGAAGAUGAUGAGUUGGUGUCUUUCAUCCACACCGGCUUGGAUUCUGACUGCAAUCCCAUAGUCACAUUGGUAAUGGGCUAUGUUGAUC
rnacentral:snoRNA from 1 species